rnacentral:tRNA from 1 species
ACCUGGCUGGCUGAAUUGGAAGGGGUGUGAGACUCUUGAUCUCAGAGUUGUGAGUUCGAACCCCACGUUAGGUG